UAAAAAAUCCCUAAAAAUCCCUGGAAUAUCCCUAAAAAUCCUUAAAAAUCCUCAGAGUAUCCCUAAAAAUCCUUGGAAUAUCCCUAAAAAUCCCUAAAAAUCCUUGGAAUAUCCCUAAAAAUCCCUAAAAAUCCUUGGAAUACCCCUAAAAAUCCGUGGAAUAUCCCUAAAAAUCCUUGGAAUAGCCCUAAAAUACCCCUAAAAACCCUCAGAAUACCCCUCGGUGAGGCCUCGCGGCCUAAAAAUCCAGAGGCCUGUUUUCCUCGGAUCGGGAUCCAAACCGGGCCCAAAUCCCAAAUCUUUGUCUUCCCUCUGGAAGAACCAUCAGGAAGACACCUGGUGACCCUUUUCCAUAUUUAUUAUACCGAGGUGUUGCCAUGGAAACACUCCAAGCCCCCUGAAAAGGCCUCGGUGAGGCCUCGCGGCCUAAAAAUCCAGAGGUUGUUUUUCUCGGAUCGGGAUCCAAACCGGGCCCAAAUCCCAAAUCUUUGUCUUCCCUCUGGAAGAACCACCAGGAAGACACUUUUUCCACGGUUAUUAUCCAUGAGGUGUUGCCAUGGAGACGCUCCAAGCCGCCCAAAAGGCCUCAGAGAGGCCUCGCGGCCUAAAAAUCCAGAGGUUGUUUUUCUCGGAUCGGGAUCCAAACCAGGCCCAAAUCCCAAAUCUUUGUCUUCCCUCUGGAAGAACCAUCAGGAAGACACUUUUUCCAUGGUUAUUAUCCUCGGAUGUUGCCAUGGAGACACUCCAAGCCCCCCAAAAGGCCUCGUUUUAGGCCUUGCGGCCUAAAAAUCCAGAGGCCUGUUUUUCUUGGAUCGGGAUCCAAACCGGGCCUGAAUCCCAAAUCUUUGUCUUCCCUCUGGAAGAACCAUCAGGAAGACACUUUUUCCAUGGUUAUUAUCCAUGGGGCGUUGCCAUGGAGACACUCCAAGCCCCCCAAAAGGCCUCGUUUUAGGCCUCGCGGCCUAAAAAUCCAGAGGUUGUUUUUCUUGGAUUGGGAUCCAAACCGGGCCCAAAUCCCAAAUCUUUGUCUUCCCUCUGGAAGAACCAUCAGGAAGACACCUGGUGACCCUUUUCCAUGUUUAUUAUCCAUGGGGCGUUGCCAUGGAGACACUCCAAGCCCCCCAAAAGGUCUCGUUUUAGGCCUCACGGCCUAAAAAUCCAGAGGCCUGUUUUUCUCGGAUCGGGAUCCAAACCGGGCCCAAAUCCCAACUUUUUGUCUUCCCUCUGGAAGAACCAUCGGGAAGACACUUUUUCCAUGGUUAUUAUCCAUGAGGUGUUGCCAUGGAGACACUCCAAGCCCCCCAAAAAGGCCUUGGCGAGGCCUCGCGGCCUAAAAAUCCGGAGGUUGUUUUUGUCGGAUCGGGAUCCAAACCGGGCCCAAAUCCCAAAUCUUUGUCUUCCCUCUGGAAAAACCAUCAGGAAGACACCUGGUGACCCUUUUCCAUGUUUAUUAUCCAUGGGGUGUUGCCAUGGAGACGCUCCAAGCCCCCCCAAAAGGCCUCGUUUUAGGCCUUGCGGCCUAAAAAUCCAGAGGUUGUUUUUGUCGGAUCGGGAUCCAAACCGGGCCCAAAUCCCAAAUCUUUGUCUUCCCUCUGGAAGAACCAUCAGGAAGACACUUUUUCCAUGGUUAUUAUCCAUGGGGUGUUGCCAUGGAGACGCUCCAAGCCCCCCAAAAGGCCUCGUUUUAGGCCUCACGGCCUAAAAAUCCAGAGGCCUGUUUUCCUCGGAUCGGGAUCCAAACCGGGCCCAAAUCCCAACUUUUUGUCUUCCCUCUGGAAGAACCAUCAGGAAGACCCUUUUUCCAUGGUUAUUAUCCAUGGGGCGUUGCCAUGGAGACACUCCAGGCCCCCGAAAAGGCCUCGGCGAGGCCUCCCGGGCCUAAAAAUCCGGCGGCGCUUUUCAAGCCUCGCCAGCUGUUCCCGGGGCUUCCGAUGAAAAGCUUGGAACAAAAAAAAAGCUCGGGAA